UGCUACAGCCAACAUACACCUCAGAGUUUCGAAUGGCUAGAAGAUCGAGUUAUGGUAUAGUCAAACUAUAACACAUUCAAAGUGAACUGUUGAUGUACCUCAGGUCAAAGAACUAGACACACAGCUGCAGCAUCGAGCUAGCCAUCAAUAAGAAGGUAGAUUUUCUUAUAUCUGCUUGAGGAGGUCACGCUCAGUACUCUCAUUCUUAACGAAUACCUGUACUCUCGCUCUGGUAUCUCCACACUGUAGACUCAAGAUACAUCUAUCCUAAGAAAGUGAUCGUACACCAACCUUCCGGAUCG
rnacentral:lncRNA from 1 species